GGGGAAUAUUGCACAAUGGGGGAAACCCUGAUGCAGCAACGCCGCGUGAGUGAUGACGGUCUUCGGAUUGUAAAGCUCUGUCUUUGGGGACGAUAAUGACGGUACCCAAGGAGGAAGCCACGGCUAACUACGUGCCAGCAGCCGCGGUAAUACGCAGGUGGCGAGCGUUAUCCGGAAUUAUUGGGCGUAAAGGGAGCGUAGGCGGAUAAUUAAGUGGGAUGUGAAAUACUCAGGCUCAACCUGGGGGCUGCAUUCCAAACUGAUUAUCUAGAGUGCAGGAGAGGAGAGUGGAAUUCCUAGUGUAGCGGUGAAAUGCGUAGAGAUUAGGAAGAACACCAGUGGCGAAGGCGACUCUCUGGACUGUAACUGACGCUGAGGCUCGAAAGCGUGGGGAGCAAAC
rnacentral:rRNA from 1 species